GCCUGGACCAUAAUUAGUGCUCAAUAAAUAUCAAUAAUUACCAGUACAAGAACUGGCUUUAUGCACAUUUGUUGAAGAAGAAAGGAAAAUGUUGGGAGAAAAAUAGAAAUCUCUGUGAAUUAUUUGUGAAUUUGGGAAAUUCAGAAUAUUCAUUUUUCUGUAUUUCCAUUCAAGCCUUGUGAUUUUUGUCUACUACAUUUUUCUUUCCUUUUACAGAAACAGAUGUUGUUUUUGGUGAUGUAAGUUACCAGGGUUGGGGGUCUGAUCUGGAGGAACUGGGAGGUGAGUUCCAGCCCCUUCCCUCAGUUUCUCAUCAUUGUGGAGCAGUCUUGCCCUCUUCCUUCGAUCAAGCUUCAAAGCUUCAUGGCAACCACAUUUAAUGUUUAUUGCUAAUGUUAUUAGUUUCUAAUCAGAGCCUACUGCGAUUAUUACCUAAUAGCUAUUGCUUUGCACUUCCAACCAGAUGUCAAAAAUAAUGAGCCAAUAAGACUGCUAUUAAUUUAGACUGAAUGACAGUUUUAGGCCCUCGGAGCUGAAGAUUAGGGGCCUCAUAAAAGCAGGGCACAAAUAAUUCGAGUGCUCAAAAGUAAUAGCAAAAAUGGUGAGAAUGUGAAUUAAUAGGUAAGUGUUUCUAAUUUACAAAUGAAACAUGCAGCUUGAAAUAUCAACACUUCUCCUGCAUUCUCCUGCGAUGAAUGGAGCAGUCCUCAUGGAUCCCAGCCUCCAGGAUUUGGGUAGAAUGGCUCAGAAAGUUUGCUGUCUAUAGGAAGAAGAGAUGAUAUUAGCAUAGAUCUGUUUACCUGGUCCUAUUUGGUUCCAGUGAGAGAAUGGGGCCAGGUCAGCAAGUGCCUAGAAGAGACCUUCUCCCGGCAUCAAGCGUUCCAUGAAACGUGUGUCCAUUUUGCUGACAGGCUCUGGUGCAUUCUGAUUGACUUCCAGAUGCCUUUCCUGACAUGCACCCCAUUGUAGAUGAUUAUCCUCCUUCUAACUCAUGGAUGCUGUCAUCCUGUACACCAUUGGGUAUGGGAUGCUUGGGUUCAAAUCUUAAUUGCAUUAUGCUCUGAGGGUGUGACCUUGAGCAAGGUGUCCAUCAUCUCUGAAUCUUAGCUCCCUCCCCUUUUAAGGUGUCCAUAUCAAUAGCACGUAACUUGUAGGAUUACCACUGAUCAUUGGAAGAAAUAGCAGAUACAAGGAUCUCAGCACAGUGCCUGUCACACCAAUGAACUGGAGAAAUUGUCACUGUUGCUUAAACACUAGGGCUCUGUUUCUCCUUCACCUUGAUCAUUUAUUCCCUCUGUUUAUUCAUGCCUUUAGGUACCUAUUUAUCAAAGCAGGAGAAAAAUUUUAAAAAGUUCAUUUCUUUUCUUCCUCCAGUCCUCAUAUAUUAAUCUGUAGACCCAAGCCUGUUUCAUUUCACUUUGUUCUACCAUUUUAAAGACAAACAUUGUCCAAAGGCAUGCUAUGGCUCCUUUUGGUAUAUAUUUGUUUACCAUGGUCCUGUUUGGUUCCAGUGAGAGAAUGGGACCAGGUCAGCAAGUGCCUGGAAGAGGAGACCGUCUCCCAGCAUCACGCAUUUCUCCAUGAAAUGUGUCUCCAUUUUGCUGACAGGCUCUGGUGCAUUCUGAUUGACCUCCAGAUGCACCAGAGCCUGUCAUAUAAGGGGAUGGGGUACGGAGGCGGAGACCCAGUCUGUGCUACAAUACCUUUAGUGUCUGGUGGGUGUCAUGGAGGAAAGAGGUCCCCGAGUGUAAGGGUGGGGUGAGCAGGGAGCAGUAAGGCUGCAGAAGGAGAUGGUGUCCCGUCUGGCCUGAGAAGAUGUUGUUGGAGAGACAAGCUAAUUGCUCUCAAAUGGCUACCUUUUCCACUAGGCACACAGAUACACUCCAGGAUGGAAUGCAGGCAGAAAUCAUGACCUCCAUCCACCUUUAACUUUCCAAGGCCUGGCCCAUAAACCCUCCCUGUCAGGCUUCCUGGUACCUCUUCCCUGGCUGCUAGCUGGAUGCUGAGGCCCUGGGGUGCUGAGCCACUGGUGGAGUGAAGCCUGGGCCUGAAAGGCUGGGUGAAACAGAAGUCAUGGGAUGGGCAGAAGAUGCUGAUCUAGGCUGAUACCUGGCAAACCCUACCUUGUCCUGCCCCUGACACUGCAGAUCUGAGGACGCGCUGGGGGAGCCGAGCAUCCAGGUGUGCAUUUUCCCAUCUUUGCCUCCUUUGCUGUGCCCCAUCCAUGGAUUCUUCCAUUAGUGACCCUGGGAUUUUAAGGCUUGUAGCCUGAGCACUCACAGGGAGGUGUGGGGACUGAGUAAUCCUCUCAAUUGAGCCUGUUAAUAAAUUUGUCACCACACUAGACGAGGGGAAAUGAUUUUAAAUUGAUUCGUGCAGAAUUUUGAUGUGUUCUGCACAUCCAACUUUGCUUUUGGUGCUCUGGUUAAGCAUUGGUGAGUCACCGGUUCAGCCUGAUUAUUCUUGCUGCUGUAAAAGUAGAAAUCAAUAUUAAUAUUUCCUCACUGUUAACCAUCUCUCUAGAACAAAUAUUUUUUCCCCUCCUUCUCCUUCUAUGACUUUGUUAUCUUUGCAUUUCUAAUUGUGUCUGAAAUUUAUGGAGUGUCUUUUUUUUUUUUUGGUAAAGAACUACAGUUUGUGAUGAUGCUGCUUUUCCCAUCACAUCUGGGAUCAGCGUUUGUAAUAGAUUCUCUUUUACGUUCAGCUCCUGAAGAGCACUCUCAUGAUCUGAUAAGAGAAGAUGAUCUUUGCUGGCCCUUUGAGGUAAUGAAUCCUUUUCAUUUGUUUUCUUGCAUACUUUCUAGGUCAGUGAGUGGAGGGAAUUUUUGUCCAACGUGCACCUUGACAGAGCUUCACUGACCACGGGCGGUGUCUCCCUGCUGCCACGCAGCACACCUCUGACCACAGACCUCUCUCCAGAGCCACGUGUUUGCUUCUCACCUGACAGGCUCUGUGAGAGCCCAUCUGUGCUUCCCUGGGAUGUCUGACCGCACGCAUCCCCCACUGUGCAUGGGAGCCCUGCUGGGCCCGUAGGUGGAAUUAUUUCUCAGUUUUAAUCUGAGUACAUAAUUGAGGCUUGUGCCAGCAAGGACUCCCAUCGCUUUCUUUCCUCACACUCCACACGUAGUGCUGCUCAGUGAUUUUACUGUUCCUCUAGGAAUGGCUCCCACCUGCUUAGAGUAUAAGAUUUAUCUCCUUAGCACACCAUGGGAAGUCUCCUAAAAUCCAUCCACUGCUUAUCUCUUUGGCCUCAGCUCUUGGCCCCCUGUGAUGAAACCCUGAUCUCUAGUCAUGCAGAGGUGCUUGCAACUUUCUGAAAGCUCCUUUCAAAGGUGCCUUUGCCUUCUGUUCCCUAUCCCUUCAGGGUCCUUCCCGGCUAGCCACUGCUCCUGGCUAAGUUCUGAGAGGUUGCAUCCACCUCGCGGGAGUGUUGGCCAUUUUCUCCCUUCGAGGUCCUUAUUGUUGGCCUUUCUCUCUUUCCCUACUAGACUCUAAGCUCCCUUAGAGUGGGGCCUCUGUCUCACCCAUCUCUCUGUGGCCCCCAUCUAGUGUGCGGUCAAGGCUUGCUGAGAGCUGCCUUUUCAUGUGUAUUAUGACAAUUCAGCCCAAUGACAAGUGGCUCACUCCAUCUCCAACACGCUCCUGUCAACCUUCCUUUUCCCUGGGUCUCUUCAGUUUAACCUUUUGUGGGCAUACCAUCAUGCAUUAGUUGGAAUCAGAUUGAUACUGGAGGUGUUUUUGUUUUCCAGAAAUGUCUGGGGAAAGUGUGCCUGUGUACUUUUCAUGUAUGUCCGUCGGAGGAAAAGUUUUCAUCAUUCAUUUAUUCUUGUAUCGAUUGCACAAAAUUGCUUAAGAUUCUCCUCUGUGUGUGGUUCCAUGGGAGCUUGGACCACUUUACAUGAUGAAUAGGACAGAGUAGAGUCCCUUUUGGGAAACAGGCAUCUGUAAAAUGCUAUGGGUACAUAAAGAGCCACCUAAUGGAAAUGGGUCACAGCUGGCACUCCAAAGGAGGCAAUGUCUGAGCUGAAUUGGAAGGAAAAGCAGGCAUUUGCCAAUGAGAACUUGGAGGGUUCUCCAGGAGCAGGGCGUGCAGAGAGCCCAUUGAGUGGAGGCGUGUAGGGAGCCAUGGGGACUUUGGUUUAUCUUAAGAACAAUAUGUGUUUGUGUGUACAAGGGAGGGGGCAGAAUAAGGAAUGGCAGAUAAAGCUGAAGAAGUGAGUAGAGGCCAGAUCACAGGGUCCUGACUGUGUCCUGGAUAAACACGGGGAUGCUGGAGGUUUAAUCAGGGUCAUGGCGUGGUAAUAUUUCCAAGUAGAAAGAUCACUUUGGUGGUGAAUUGCAAGGACUGGCCGAUUCCCCUGGUGGUAGGAAAAGAGGUGACCAGGCUGGUUUCCAGCGGAUCUGGGCUGGGGCUGAGCGUCUGGUUAGUGGUUAGGAAUAAGCUGAGGGAUAAUCUCAAGUCAGGCUCUGCUGUGGGGCAUGUGUUCCCUGCCGAGUGUGUGAGAUGUGAGUGCCUGUUCUGCUGGCUGUGCUUCCUUCCCCUGUCUCGGGGUGCCGGGGACUGAGCCCUGUGACUCCAAUUGACGGCUUCAUUUCACAAAUUAAACAUAUCAUGCUAGUGAACCGUUUCAGAGCCACAGCAUUACAGAAUAAGAAAACCACUGCAGCCCUAAGUCUACAAUGCUCAUGAAGCAAACAAUUCUCUGAAACAUUGACCCAGCACCUCAGAGCUCCCCAUAACAGGUCUACCUCUUUGGAAAGGUCAGACUUUUUAAAGGUUAAUUGUUACCCUUAAGAAAAAUGCAAAACAAACGGUAUGGCUGCAUAUUUAAUAGGUGUUUGGAACAGCAUUUCCCAGAAGCACAAUUCCUGAUGAUUUGAUUUUUAAAAAGAAUGGUCUAGAAAUAAAGUGCCCUUGGCAACUUCUGACUUGAAGAAAGUGAGUAUGCCACCUGUGGUUUAAGGAGUAUUAUUAUUAUACGUCUGAAAUGUCCUCUCCCUCCUCCCCUUUCCCCAAAGAAAACAAACCCAGCCAGACAGUAAUUUGACCAUUGCUAUGUCCUGGGUCUUUGCACAGUGGUGGCUGAACAGCUGAGCAUAGAGCGUCCAGGAGAUCUCAUCCUUGUCUGCCUUCUCUUGCCUACUCUUUCUCCCUCAGCUUUCUCCUCUGCUCCCAGCAUUGACCAGGCACUUGUCUGAAGCCAAGCUCUCCAUCAGACUCCCCAACACCUCCCACAUAGCUUACCGAAGAGCUCUCCCUGGACACCUUGCUGGGCGCCUCAGUGCAAUUUGUCCAAACCAAUUUAGCGCCUCUCUUUUCCAUGGCUCUGGUUCUGCCCUUAACUUCUUCCCUCUGCUGAGCUCUCCUCUCCUCCCUGCACUCAUCUUGCCCCCAGCUUGGAUUCUCCAGUUGUUUUCUCACGACUCAUUGUUCUUCUAGCAUGCUGUCCACCCUGGUGCUGGGUCCUACUGAGCUUUUUUCUCCCAAUCUGUCUCAGGACUGUCUCUUUUCAUUGUGGUGGCCACCACUCUAGACGGAACCUCUCUCCUGGAUCACUGCAAUAACUUCCCAAUUGCCUCUAUUACAGAUCAUCCAUUUUGCCCACUGACACAAGACAUUUUCUGGGAGAUCCAUUAUGAUUCUGCAAAUUCCUUGAUCAAAAUUUUUACUGUUUUCUUACUGUCUAUGGUAUGAAUCUCAGAAUUUCAGGGUUCACUGCCUUUCUACCUUAAUCCUUUACUACCUUUUCUUUUCAGUAACCUUCAUCACCCCCAAGUGGAUGGUCUCCAUUUUCCAAGCUGGCAGCUCACCCCCUCUCUCUGUGCCUCUGCUGCUGCGGUCCACACACCUGGAAUGCCCUCUGCACCCUGCACACGGCAUCCCCCCUCCUUCAAGCAUCGGUCAGAGGCCCCAUCCUCCUACCAGCUCCCUGAUCGCUCCAGUCUGGUGCAUUCAUUGUACCCCCAUGGCUUUACCCAUACUCUGGGUUUUCAUGAACACACGGGCAUGUGCUCAACACCUUCUCCUUCCAGCUCCAGAUGCUUUCCUGCAGGUCUCUACCUCAGCUGGCCUCUUUGCAGGAAAUUAACGGCGUCUCCUACCUUCUGGCUCCCAGUUGCGCUGGGCCAGUGGGGCAUAUCGAAAGGAGAGAGAGAGACAGGGCAUUUAUUCUUGGCUUCUUCCCUGUGUGGUUGCCCAGGCUGGCUGUUCCUGACUGAAGGCCUCCUGGCCUGAUGGAGCUGUCUUUCCUCUUCCAGUGGCUGCUCUUGCCCCUCUUCAGGUGAAGAACAUGCUGGUUUCAGGUUGUGACUCACCCCGAGGGGCUUGUGGAUUCCUUAUUCCCAGCUCACAACGUUGUAGCCCUUUAUUAAACACCCCUAACACGUUCCAGAUAGUCUUCCUUCCAAGACCCCAAGGAACACACUCCAUACACGCCUUGUGCUUCAAAUCUCAGAAUCACUGUGUCAAGCAAGAGAAGCCACCCAGGAAACAUAUGUGGGUGAAGUCAAGAACAGGCAGGACCGACCUACUGUGAUGGAAGUCAGAACACUGGAGGUUCAGUUUUGGAUUGGAGUUGACUUGAGGAAACUUUCUGAGGUUUGGAAAUGCUCUGUAUCCUGUUGAGGGUGGUGGUUGUGUGAGUAUAUGCAAUGGUCAAAACUCAUUGAACCCAUACACACGUUUUAUGGUAUCUAAAUGAUACCCCAAUAAGAAGUAAAUACAUAAGAUUACAAAGGAAAAUAACUGUGUUAAAAUAAGAUUAUUAAGAUGUCCAAUACAAAGAAGAUCCUCGUAGUUCCUCAACACACACAGCAACACACGCAUCAGAAUCCUAGGCUCCAGAACCCCAGAGAUGCACUGUCUGGAUGGACCUCUAACAAAGCAACCCCUGAAGGUGCAGCACCCAUCUUGCCGCCCAGGCAAUGCCUCUUCCAAAGGAAUGUACAACUCUUAGAAACAGGGACAUGGUCCCUGGCACAAUCCUAAGCACAGAGUAGGUACCUAAAGCUUGAAACCAAAAGUCAGCCCUCACUUAACAAAUGGAUGAAGAGUCAAAUAGAUUCUUAUUCUGAGCUAGGCAGCAGGUUAGCUACUAGAAGAGCCUAGUCUUCAGUUUUUAAAUUUAAUCUCGUAAACUCAGAAGACUCGUUGGCUCUUGGAGGUUUAGAUGAAUCUGGCUCACCUCUCAACCCCAGGGGUUCAAAGCUUGUGAAAAAUGCUUUGUUUCUCCAGAGAUGCCCCUGUCUCUACUCCCUUGGCUGUGACUGUCAUCUCACUACUACCUCCAUGAUAAUCUGGGCUCAGAUAUCUGCCAUUUGGGUGAGAAAAUCUGCUCCAGCCAAGCAAUGUGUGCUGAGUGGCUUCAUGAAGGACAUUAGGGUGUCAUGGUGCAGGGUUGCCGCUGACUGUCUGAUUAUCAUCAGCCUCCAGUGUGCUCCCUGCAUGCCUGCUUGCAGUCCACUGACUCCUUUAACUUAAAUCCCAGUGGGUGACCUUCUAUACCCUAAGCAUUCACUUGGGAAAUGGAAACUAUUCAUUCUUCUUCUUCUUUUUUUUUUUUUUUUUUUUUUGAGACAAAGUCUCGCUCUGUAGCCCAAGCUGGAGUGCAGUGGCUCGAUCUUGGCUCACUGCAACCUCUGCCUCCCCGGUCCUAGUUCAAGCAAUUCUCCUGCCUCAGCCUCCCAAAUGGCUGGGAUUAUAGGCAUGCGUCACCAUGCCCAGCUAAUUUUUGUAUUUUUAGUAGAGAUGGAGUUACAUCAUGUUGGCCAGGCUGGUCUUGAACUCCUGACCUCAUGAUCCACUUGCCUCAGCCUCCCAAAGUGCUGGGAUUACAGACGUGAGCCACCACACCCAGCCAAAACUAUUCCUUCUACUUUCUCCCAACACAGUGGCCUCUUUCCGACUUUUUUUGAGUUUUUUUCAGGGAUCAACCAAGCUAGGCAAUUUUGCCUUUUAUACAAUCUCCUGAAAUUCUAGUGAAUAACUUUUUUUUUUUCUCAUCUUCCGAUAUCUUGUGAUGGUCCCAAUGCAGAUGAUCUGUCCAGGGGAUGGAUGAGGAAAAGACAAGAAAUGAUGCCCAACUGUGGCCUCCAGACUGACCUCCCCUGACACUGCUUACUCCAUAGGUGAUGGGCAGUACGCUCUUAUGAGACUUUAUUUGAGGAUCUGUUUCCAUGGUACAGGCUAGGUAGGGGACAUAUCUUGUCCCUUCUAUACAGGGCUUCUCAGUCAGGCUGGGCUACUCGUGGUCAGCAGAAGUUUUCAGGCAACUGGGAUACAGAAAGAGCUGAGUGAGGGUGUGAAGAUGGCGAGGAGGGCCAUGGAAGUUCCAGGCUGAGGCUUUGGCAACUCCUUCCACCCUCAGAGCCAGGGUUUACAGGUUUGCCCAUCCAUUUCUGACCCUUCUUCCAGGAGCUAGGAUUGGAAAGGAGUACCUGUACUAACUGGCUUUUCUUCAUUCUCUGACCUCAGUUUCUGGAAUUCUUUUUGGUGCAAUUUGCCCCAAGUUGUCCAUCAAGAGUUGAAGGCAAAAUAAAUGGAGGGCAGUUCAUCUCCCCAAAUCUUUGAGGAAUAUUGUAUUUCUUGCCUUUUCUCCACAGUACUUGGGCUCUAAUGGGUCGCAUGUAAUAGCUGCCUGUAGGGUCACACAUGCACCGGGGGAUGGGUGCAGUGUCUCUUCAGAGCCUCUGGCUUGCUCUGAAGAUCCCUUCUGACUGGAAUGGGAAACCUAACAAUUAUUUCUCCCUGUUGGGAGUUCAGGCUUCUCCAUAAGCUUUGGCUCUGGGGAUGUAAGCUGAACCUUCCAGACCUCUGAGAGGCUUGUCUCCUGGGGACAGCAGAUGACCAUCACCUUCCAUCUGUCUUCCUAAAUGAGCAAGAAUCAGCAAUUCUUGCAUGGGCUUAGUUUCUCUAGGGAUGUCUUGCUGGCAGUUGUUUUCUCAUCACCUUGCUCCAGUGGGACCUGGUCUUCCAAAUUGCAAGCAGGAGGAGUUGGCAUGCAGCUUACUGCCAAAAUCUCAGGAUGUUUUACACCUCGAGGUCUCUUCUUCUUCCUGGUGCUGUGUACUCAGAAACCUGCCACAUAGAUCACAACACUGUGCACAUUCCUGAAUGCUUGUGUGCUGUUGGAUAUUGUUGCCUGGAGACAGGGAGAGUUAUGACUUUUUGACCUUGUAUAAUUUUCAAUUCUGGACCAUGCAAUUUUUCUAUUUAUCACCAUUGCUUCUCCACGUCUGAGGCCUGACUCCUUGGGAACAUUUCAGCAGCUCAGAAUCCUCCUCUUCAAUCUGGCUGUGCCUUCUCGCAGAUGCCAUAUGUUGGCUCACAUCCAUGUGGCUGUGGCCAGUGGAUCCCAGCUUGCCUGGCAGUUACUCCUUAGGAGGAUACCAGGCUCUGGGGAGUCUGCCCCAGCAGGUGAAUCAGGAGAAAGGCCCUUCUCAAUGAUCAAAGUUUUUUGUUCCUUUUUCAGGAUUGUGUGUCACUUAAGAAGCUGCAGUAAUCACCCAUGGCCAGGAUUUCCUCUGGUUGGUGGGUUGAUGAGUUUAUUCCUUGUCAUGCAAUGCCCUGGCUAAGACACCACAGAAUGCUUUGUAUGUGUUGCUCUCUCUACCUGCCUGACCUGUGUGUUACUCCACACAUUUCCAUGUGAACCUCAGGGUUCUGUCAACCCUCUCCCCUGGCCCAAGCAACAACAUGGCCAGUGCAGAAACAGUCAUCUUUCUUCCUUGAGCUGUAGGUUCCCUGGUCUCAUAGUCAAGAUGAGGGUGGACUUAGACCCACUAUUAGACUCAAAAUACUGCAUUUUGCAUUGGGGGCCAGUUUAUCUGCUGGUCCAGUGUUCUGGGGCUGCUCAGAUGUCACUUGGGGCUGCUUUAGAUCCCGAAUAUUUAGGGAAACAUGGCUCAAGCCUUCAGUCUCAUGGACUAUAUGAGCCCAGAGCUCUCCCCACAAUUCCUGUGAAUUCUAACCUUGGGUCCUCAGGGUCCCAUGUGGACCCCUUUGCCAAUGGGAUGCAAAUUUCUGCUGGUUCACAGAUUUCCUCUAAAAAUUUUACUGAAAGCUUAUCUUCUGCCACUUCUGUGCUUUUUGUUGGCUUAUUUGUUUCGUUUUUUGUUUUUAUUUUUUUAGUAAAAAAUAGGCACUAUAGGCAGGUCAGCUUUCCAUAUUUUCCUUUUCCCAAUUAUGAUGAAUAUAGUUUUAUUUAUUUAAUUAGCUAAGUAUUUUUAUGUUGGACUUUGCAGCAGCCUCAAGUAUUAUUUCAGACUUGGCAGGCAGCAUUUCCUGCACAGGUAGGUGUGAAUUUAUAAGCAAGGAGGUUGGAGGUUAGUGGUGAUUAUUUAACACUAUUUGGCUUAACAGAUGUAAUCUAAAUAUAGAUAAAUGAGAAAAAUGAGAGUUAAAACACCUAUUUCCGCCAUUUGAACCAGCAAUCCCGUUACUGGGUAUAUACCCAAAGGAUUAUAAAUCAUUCUACUAUAAGACACAUACACAUAUAUGUUUAUUACAGCAGUGUUCACAAUAGCAAAGACUUGGAACCAACCCAAAUGCCCAUCAGUGAUAGACAAGGUAAAGAAAAUGUGGCACAUAUACACCAUGGAACCAUAAAAAGGGAUGAGUUCAUGUCCUUUUCAGGGACAUUGAUGAAUCUGGAAACCAUCAUUCUCAGCAAAGUUAACACAGGAACAGAAAACCAAACACUGCAUGUUCUCACUUACAAGUGGGAGUUGAACAAUGAGAACACGUGGACACAGGGAGGGGAACAUUACAUACCGGGACCUGUCGGGGGAUGAGGGGCUAAGGGAGGGAGAGCAUUAGGGGAAAUACCUAAUUUAGAUGAUGGGUUGAUGGGUGCAGCAAACCACCAUGGCACGUGUAUACCUAUGUAACAAACCUGCACAUUCUGCACAUGUAUCCCAGAACUUAAAGUAUAAUUCAAAAUAAAAAAGAAAAACAAAAAACACCUAUUUCCAUAUUUAUGUAUGUUUCCUCAAAAAGUACAAUGGCUUUUUUUCCCUCUACUUCUCAAACUUAUUUUUAUUAAAACCAUUGCAUUCUUAUUAUUAAGUAUUUACUCUAUGUGUAUUUUAAAUAAGACUUAUAAUUGGAUUAAAUAAAUAGUAUGUAGUAAGUUGCAAUUGUGACUUUGUUCAAAUUUCCAGAUAUUUUAAAUCACCACUUAAUGCAAUCCUGGCUCUAACAUUGAGGCAUAAGUAUAUUUCACACACAUUUCUUAUUCUAGGGGUUAGACUGCUUUCUAGGCAAUGUUCUUUCCAAAUAUUCAGCCUUUCUGAAGACUGGAUGUGAUUCUUUUUAAUUUUUUUUAAGAUGGAGUUGCACUCUUGUUGC